CGCGUAGGCGGCUUUGCAAGUCGGGUGUGAAAUCCCCAGGCUUAACCUGGGAACUGCAUUCGAGACUGCAUUGCUAGAGUAUGGGAGAGGGAAGUGGAAUUUCCGGUGUAGCGGUGAAAUGCGUAGAUAUCGGAAGGAACAUCAGUGGCGAAAGCGACUUCCUGGACCAAUACUGACGCUCAUGUGCGAAAGCGUGGGGAGCAACA
rnacentral:rRNA from 1 species